NNNNNNNNNNNNNNNNNNNNNNNNNNNNNNNNNNNNNNNNNNNNNNNNNNNNNNNNNUUUUUUUUGCUAGGAUCCCAUUGUACUUAACUGAAUUUUAUAACGCUGAUCGAUAUCUUGGUAAAAUAUUCAUUUUUAAACUAGCGGGCAGUGAAAUCUUUGCUUUGUGUGCUAAAGUCAACAGUCGCUCGGUUUGAGCUCAAAUAAAUGCGGAGAUGCCUCGGCUCGGAGCAGUUGGCCGCCUCCCUCCGCGAGCUGGACGCUCCGCCGCCAGCCCGCCACACCGAAGACAAAACUCACAGGAAAAAAAAAAAAAAGCUUCUGUAUAUUUUUCCUGCUGGGUGGUCAGAAGGAAAGGCCACGAAGCCAAAGGCCUCCCAUUGAGACAGUGCUCUACGGAAAGCCGACCUCACGUGCAGCAGCCGCAGGAGAUGAGAGCACCUGUCGGGUCUCCGCCACUCCUUGGUGAGCUAUGCGCGUGCGGGGGGAGGGCAGCCACGCAUCACCCCCAUGACAGGGGACAGAGCCUUCCUCCACACGACCCCCCCACCACCACUGCCGGGAAACGCCCACCCCAUGUGCCCACACGGGCUCAAGACAUCCUGCAAAAUGUCGUGUGGUCAUUGUCCAGUAGAGCUGCUAAGUAGUUUUAAUGCCAGUGAGUAUUAAAUUUGUUUAAAAAACAUGUGUGAGUGUGUGGGUGUGUGUUCUGCCCUGCAGGGAAGAAGGGAGAGAAUAUGGGAGUUGGAGGCCGCGGGGUGGUGGGGGGUGGUUCUAUUUAGACUGUUGCAAAUGUGUGAUGGGACCAUGAAAAAAGAUUCCUUCAUAUAUGUCAUUUUUGCUAUGCUUUUGUGUAAACAUAUAUGGAUGGCAUAACCUUUUUUUUUCCCCUACAAGAAUUAUAAUAAAACUAUCAAGUACAAAAUGUUAUGCAUUUGUUUUGCAAGCAUAGAUUUUAAAAUUUUGUAUUUAGUACAGAAAUGCUACCACAUAAUAAAGCACAAGCAUAUCUUCUUUCCUGAUUAGGUGCUUAGAUUAAAUGUAUACCAUUUACAAAAACUGAGCCAGGUGAAGGAAUAGUAGUCUUCUUAGGUAAAUGUAUUUCUUUUCUCCUCCCUAACUCUUGACAUGAAGAAAAACUUGUCCGAAGAAAAU
rnacentral:lncRNA from 1 species